AUUGAACGCUGGCGGCAGGCCUAACACAUGCAAGUCGAGCGGGGUUUUCGGACCUAGCGGCGGACGGGUGAGUAAUGCGUAGGAAGCUACCCGAUAGAGGGGGAUACCAGUUGGAAACGACUGUUAAUACCGCAUAAUGUCUACGGACCAAAGUGUGGGACCUUCGGGCCACAUGCUAUCGGAUGCGCCUACGUGGGAUUAGCUAGUUGGUGGGGUAAUGGCUCACCAAGGCGACGAUCCCUAGCUGGUUUGAGAGGAUGAUCAGCCACACUGGAACUGAGACACGGUCCAGACUCCUACGGGAGGCAGCAGUGGGGAAUAUUGGACAAUGGGCGCAAGCCUGAUCCAGCCAUGCCGCGUGUGUGAAGAAGGCCUUCGGGUUGUAAAGCACUUUCAGUAGGGAGGAAGAGUUGAGUGUUAAUAGUACUCACCUUUGACGUUACUCGCAGAAGAAGCACCGGCUAACUCUGUGCCAGCCGCCGCUGUAAAAC
rnacentral:rRNA from 1 species